UACGUAGGACCCAAGCGUUGUCCGGAUUUACUGGGUGUAAAGGGUGCGCAGGCGGGCUUGUGCGUCAGAGGUUAAAGCCCACAGCUUAACUGUGGAAAUGCCUUUGAUACGGCAAGUCUUGAGUAUGAGAGAGGAUGAUGGAAUUCCUGGUGUAGCGGUGAAAUGCGUAGAUAUCAGGAGGAACACCAGUGGCGAAGGCGGUCAUCUGGCUCAUUACUGACGCUCAGGCACGAAAGCGUGGGUAG
rnacentral:rRNA from 1 species